rnacentral:rRNA from 1 species
CUACGGGUCGCUGCAGUGGGGAAUAUUGGACAAUGGGCGCAAGCCUGAUCCAGCAAUGCCGCGUGAGUGAAGACGGCCUUAGGGUUGUAAAACUCUUUCGCUAGGGAAGAUAAUGACUGUACCUAGUAAAGAAGUCCCGGCUAACUCCGUGCCAGCAGCCGCGGUAAUACGGAGGGGACUAGCGUUGUUCGGAAUUACUGGGCGUAAAGAGUUCGUAGGCGGACUGACAAGUUAGAGGUGAAAUCCCAGGGCUCAACCCUGGAACUGCCUUUAAAACUGUCAGUCUAGAGACCGGAAGAGGUUAAGGGAAUACCUAGUGUAGAGGUGAAAUUCGUAGAUAUUAGGUGGAACACCAGUGGCGAAGGCGCCUAACUGGUCCGGUACUGACGCUGAGGAACGAAAGCGUGGGGAGCAAACAGGGUUAGAUACCCGGGUAGUC